CCUACGGGAGGCAGCAGUGAGGAAUAUUGGACAAUGGAUGGAAAUCUGAUCCAGCCAUGCCGCGUGCAGGAAGACGGCCCUAUGGGUUGUAAACUGCUUUUGUAUGGGAGCAAUAAGAUCUACGUGUAGAUUGAUGAGAGUACCAUACGAAUAAGCACCGGCUAACUCCGUGCCAGCAGCCGCGGUAAU
rnacentral:rRNA from 1 species